rnacentral:piRNA from 1 species
UGGCUUUUAUCAUGAAGGGCUGUUGAA